UAUGAAUCAAUAAUAUUAAUAUAAAAUUUUAUUCGAAAAACUCAGCACUAAAUGCAUAAACAAAAAAACAAACAAACCCUAAACCCUAUAAUCCUAAGCAUUAUUCUAAACCAAACCUUAAACCCAAUCUAAACCAAACGCUAAACCUUUUCUACUACCUAAACACUAAAUCCUACCUAACCCUAAACCCUACCUAAAUCUAGACCUUAACCCUAUCUAACCCUAAACCCUACAUAAACCUACCCUAAUCCCUAAACCUUAAACCUAUCUAACCCUAAACCUACCUAACCCUAAACGUAAACCCCACCUAACCCUAAACCCUAUUUAACCCUAAACUCUACCUAACCCUAAACCCUUCCUAACCCUAAAACCCUACCUCAAAACCUAACCCUACCUAACCCUAACCCUAAACCUUACCUGACCCUAACCCUAAACCCUACUAAACCUAAACCCUACUUAACCCUGACCCUACAUAACCCUAAACCCAACUAACCCUACCUAACCUAAAACCUUUCUAACAUUAAACCCUACUAACCUUAAACCCUACUAACCCUAAAUUCUGCCUAACCCUAAACCCUGCCUAACCCUAAACCCUACCUAACCCUAAACCCUUCCUAACCCUAAACUCUUUCUAACCCUAAACCCUACCUAACCCUAAACCCCUUCUAACCCUAAACCUGAUCUAACCCUAAACCCUGCCUAACCCUAAACCCUACCUAACCCUAAACCCUUUCUAGCCCUAAAUCCUACUAACCCUAAACCCUACUAACCCUAAACCCUUUCUAACCCUAAACCAUGCUAACUCUAAACCCUACCUAAUCCUAAACCCUACCUAACCCUAACCCUACAUAAUCCUAAACCCUACUAACCCUAAACCCUGCCUAACCUAAACCCUACCUAAUCCUAAAACCUUUCUAACCCUAAACCCUUUCUAGCCCUAAACCCUAUAUAACCCUAAACCCUACUAACCCUAAACCCUACUAACCCUAAACCCAACCCUACCUAAUUCUAAACCCUACCUAACCCUAAACCCUAUGUAACCCUAAACCCUACCUAACCCUAAACCCUACCUAGCCCUAAACCCUACCAACCCUAAACCUACCUAACCCUAAACCCUACCUAGCCCUAAACCCUACCUAACCU
rnacentral:lncRNA from 1 species